rnacentral:rRNA from 1 species
GACGAACGCUGGCGGCGUGCUUAACACAUGCAAGUCGAACGGAAAGGCCCUGCUUUUGUUGGGUUCUCGAGUUGCGAACGGGUGAGUAGCACGUGAGUAACCUGCCCUUUACUUUGUGAUAACUUCAUGAAACUUGUUCUAAUACCUGAUAGGAUCUCCUGCUGCAUGUUUUGGUUUGGACAGUUUCGGCGGUUGGUGAUGGACUCGCGGCUUAUCAGCUUGUUGGUGGUGUAGUUGCUUACCAAGGGUUUGACGGGUAGCCGGCAUGUGAGGGUGAACGGGGAAAUUGGGACUGAGAGACGGCCCAGACGGGAACGGGAGGCAGCAGGGGGGAAUAUUGCAAAAUGGGAGGAAGCAUGAGGAAGAAACGCAGGGAGCGGGAUGAAGGCCUACGGGUUGUAAAAAGAUGUAGAAUGAGAAGAAGAGGGAGUGACGGUAAUGGGUAAAGAAGCACCGGCUAACUACGUG